CUCUUUCUGGCCUUCAGCCAGAAGCCCAGACAGGAGACUCCUGACCACCCAAAGGAAGGAAGCAGCAGCAUUGCACCAAACAGCUCAGAUUCUAGUGUACAAAAUGUGGAUAAUGCUGCCAAAGCAGAUGAGGCCUGUGCCCCUGAUACAGAUGCAAACACAGUCCAGAAGCCAGUGACAGCCAAAGAUCAAGUGACUACAGCCCCCUUGGGAGUUCCUGCUGCUCAGUCAUCAGGCUCAGAGUCUCCA